rnacentral:miRNA from 1 species
UCGCAGACAGGGACACAUGGAGA